rnacentral:rRNA from 1 species
CUGUCGUCAGCUCGUGUCGUGAGAUGUUGGGUUAAGUCCGCAACGAGCGCAACCCUGCAUUCAGUUGCCAUCGGGUAAUGCCGGGCACUCUGGAAGGACUGCCAUCGACAAGAUGGAGAAGGUGGGGAUGACGUCAAGUCAUCAUGGCCCUUAUGUCCAGGGCGACACACGUGCUACAAUGGCCGGCACAACGGGAAGCGAGUUCGCGAGGACAAGCGGAUCCCUUAAAGCCGGUCGCAGUUCGGAUUGAAGUCUGCAACUCGACUUCAUGAAGCUGGAAUCGCUAGUAAUCGUGGAUCAGCCAAGCCGCGGUGAAUACGUUCCCGGGCCUU